rnacentral:rRNA from 1 species
GACGAACGCUGGCGGCGUGCUUAACACAUGCAAGUCGAACGGAAAGGCCCUGCUUGCAGGGUACUCGAGUGGCGAACGGGUGAGUAACACGUGGGUGAUCUGCCCUGCACUUCGGGAUAAGCCUGGGAAACUGGGCCUAAUACCGGAUAGGAGCCAUUUUUAGUGUGAUGGUUGGAAAGUUUUUUCGGUGUAGGAUGAGCUCGCGGCCUAUCAGCUUGUUGGUGGGGUAAUGGCCUACCAAGGCGGCGACGGGUAGCCGGCCUGAGAGGGUGGACGGCCACAUUGGGACUGAGAUACGGCCCAGACUCCUACGGGAGGCAGCAGUGGGGAAUAUUGCACAAUGGGCGCAAGCCUGAUGCAGCGACGCCGCGUGGGGGAUGACGGCCUUCGGGUUGUAAACUCCUUUCGCUAGGGACGAAGCUUUUUGUGACGGUACCUAGAUAAGAAGCACCGGCUAACUACGUG